UUGUAUUGCUUGGGGGAGCGGUGGUUGGCCUGCACCGGUGGAGACGCCGUGCUGCGGUCUUCCCCGCUCCCUCUUCCAAAACCAAACACCUGUGAACCUUUGGGAAGGCGGCUGUAGCGGCCGCCUGCCCGUUUAAACAACUCUGAUGUCUAUUUGAAUGUGAUUCGGGGCAACCCCGAUUUAAAAUGAAA
rnacentral:misc_RNA from 1 species